UAUACCCCUGGGGAGUGACGGAUUACAAUUAUUACAAUCACUCGACCAUUGAGAAGCCCCUCAAUUCGAACCACGUCAGUUUGACAACAGUUGUCAUUUUCAUUUUUGUUUACCUCUGAUAUGUUUUUGGCUACGAUCAGAGUCAAUAAUACGGGCAAUCUGAAACCGCACCGAGGCAGAUAGUUUUUUCCACACUGACGUAAAUAAAAUAUAGAGUAUUAUUGGCGAAUAAAUAUUUUAUACGAUACAUGUAGUGCCGCGAUUUUGAACAACCUACGGAUACAGGCUGGAAUACAGACCUGACGAGCGUGGCAAUGGUCCAAGAAAAGAGGCCACGAAGAAAAGCUGCUGUACUUCGAAUGUUCCAUGAAACAACCGUCAUCAGCUGACGUCACUAUGCUGCAGAACCUCCGUUUCCUCGACAGCAAGUUAGAGCCCAUCACCGCAAUCGCACCUUUUGUAUUGCUUUUUUGCCCUGCUACGACAGAGACUCGUUAUCACCUGUUAUCGACAAUGCAUGGGAUGCUUGACACGGACACGGAAGAUCAUAUUAUGGACCUGCUGUAUGGAGGUUCCUGGAUUAAUUGUUUUGGAUUAGAGCCGAGGCUAGCGUCUCUACGACGAAUGGCAAAAGUUUGAAUCUUCUCACGGAUAUGGAGCUAUAGAGCAUGCAUCGGAGAAAAUCUUGUAAAGUGCUGGCGGAUCGCACCCUUGCCUUCCAAAUCAGCACACAUCGCACAACGAGUGGAUAAAUCUGGAAGGGGG